GUGUGCAUGGCACGUGAGCUGGAAAAGUAUGUAGUAUAUUCACCAAAAAAGAAGUAUACAAAAGAGUAGUAAGAAGUGAUGAUAUGUGAGCUAAUAAAUAUGUAGUAUAAUCAUUGGAAAAAAAGUAUAUAAAAAAGUAUUAUGAAGUAUGUGUGAUGAUAUAUCUAAGCUGAAAAAGUAUGUAAUGUAUAUGGAGUAUAUAACUAAAAAGGGAGUAUAUGAUGAAUGCAUAGAAUUCUGCAUUAUUAUUUUUUAAAUCUAAUGAUGCAUGCAUUGAGAUCAAGGGUAGUCAUUCACUUGCAUACCUCUUUUUUCCAAUUAGUAUAAUCGAAAGAUGCAUGGUUGGAAAUCACGGCAAACCCGCUCUUGGGGUAGCUUUGGAUUCAAUGGAGAGAGGUAAUGGGAGAUUAGAAAAAGGAGACAGAUAGGAUUUUUGUUGGGUUGGAUCACGACGACCCAGGUAUAUAGGGUCCGAUCAGUUCGGAAGGUUAGCAAGAGCGUCCCAGGUGGAAAAAAUAAGCAAAUUUACCGUUCACACUACCCGUUAAGAAUUUUAUUAGAUCUGGCGUAAUCUGACGGUAAUCAAGGCAGAGG
rnacentral:lncRNA from 1 species